rnacentral:tRNA from 1 species
UCCCUGGUGGUCCAGUGGCUAAGACUCCUUGCUUCCAAUGCAGGGGGCCCGGGUUUGAUCCUUGGUCAGGGAA